rnacentral:rRNA from 1 species
GAUGAACGCUGGCGGCGUGCUUAACACAUGCAAGUCGAACGAAGCACUUUAUUUGAUUUCCUUCGGGACUGAUUAUUUUGUGACUGAGUGGCGGACGGGUGAGUAACGCGUGGGUAACCUGCCUUGUACAGGGGGAUAACAGUUGGAAACGGCUGCUAAUACCGCAUAAGCGCACAGCAUCGCAUGAUGCAGUGUGAAAAACUCCGGUGGUAUAAGAUGGACCCGCGUUGGAUUAGCUAGUUGGUGAGGUAACGGCCCACCAAGGCGACGAUCCAUAGCCGACCUGAGAGGGUGACCGGCCACAUUGGGACUGCGACACGGCCCAAACUCCUACGGGAGGCAGCAGUGGGGAAUAUUGCACAAUGGGCGAAAGCCUGAUGCAGCGACGCCGCGUGAGCGAAGAAGUAUUUCGGUAUGUAAAGCUCUAUCAGCAGGGAAGAUAAUGACGGUACCUGACUAAGAAGCACCGGCUAACUACGUG